AUUGAACGCUGGCGGCAGGCCUAACACAUGCAAGUCGAACGAGUGGCGGACGGGUUAGUAAUGUCUGGGAAACUGCCUGAUGGAGGGGGAUAAAUACUGGAAACGGUAGCUAAUACCGCAUACCAUCGAAUGUGCCCAGAUGGGAUUAGCUAGUAGGGGGGGUAACGGCUCACCUAGGUGACGAUCCCUCGCUGGUCUGAGAGGACGACCAGCAACACUGGAACUAAGACAAGGUCCAAACUCCUAGGGAAGUCAGCAGUGGGGAGUAUUGCAAAAUGGGCGCAAGCCUGAUGAAGCCAUGCCGCGUGUAUGAAGAAGGCCGUCGGGUUGUAAAGUACUUUCAGCGGGGAGGCGUUACCCGCAGAAGAAGCGCCGGCUAACACCGUGCCAGCCGCCGCGGUAAUAC
rnacentral:rRNA from 1 species